AGUGAACGCUGGCGGCGUGCCUAAUACAUGCAAGUCGAACGGAAUUUAAAAGAGCUUGCUCUUUUAAAUUUAGUGGCGCACGGGUGAGUAAUAUAUAGCUAAUCUGCCCCUUGCUGGAGGACAACAGUUAGAAAUGACUGCUAAUACUCCAUACUCCUUUUUACCAUAAGAUAAAUCGGGAAAGAAUUUCGGCAAGGGAUGAGACUAUAUCGUAUCAGCUAGUCGGUGGGGUAACGGCCUACCGAGGCUAUGACGCGUAACUGGUCUGAGAGGAUGAUCAGUCACAUUGGAACUGAGACACGGUCCAAACUCCUACGGGAGGCAGCAGUAGGGAAUAUUGCGCAAUGGGGGAAACCCUGACGCAGCAACGCCGCGUGGAGGAUGACACUUUUCGGAGCGUAAACUCCCUUUGUAGGGAAGAAUA
rnacentral:rRNA from 1 species